rnacentral:rRNA from 1 species
CCGGGUUGAUCCUGCCAGUAGACAUAUGCUUGUCUCAAAGAUCAGGCCCUGCAUGUCUACGUUCAGGCCUUAAUACGGUGAGACCGCGAAUGGCUCAUUAAAUCAGCUAUGGUUUAUUGGAUCGUGCCUGUUAGAUGGAUAACUGUAAUAACUCUAGAGCUAAUACAUGCCUCGAUGCCCUGACCCUGCCUGGCUUGCCUUGCUUGCAUGUGGUAGGCUAUGGGUGCACUUAUUAGAUCGGAAGCCAACCAAUUGUGCGUGCGCGGCCGGCUGCAAGGUCGUCGUUGCGUGCGUUGAGACACUCGCUUCUGGUGACUCUGGCUAAUUGCUACAGAUCGCAGUCGGCAUUGAGUCGGCGACAGGUCCUUCAAAUGUCUGCCCUAUCAACUUUCGAUGGUGGGUGACCUGCCUACCAUGGUGGCAACGGGUAACGGGUAACGGGAAAUCAGGGUUCGAUUCAAGAGAGGGAGCUUGAGAAACGGCUACCACUUCCAAGGCAGCAGACGCGCAAAUUACCCACUCUCAGCACGGGGAGGUAGUGACGAAAAAUACCGAUGCGGAACUUCUUCAAGGGGCUCCGUAAUCGGAAUGAGUGGACUCUAAACCCCUUCACGAGGAUCAAUUGGAGGUCAAGUCUGGUGCCAGCAGCCGCGGUAACUCCAGAUCCAAUAGCGUAUAUUAAAGUUGCUGCAGUUAAAAAGCUCGUUGUUGGAUCUCGGUAGCAUUGCUGCUUGUUGGUAAUUGAGCGACCGGUGUGUGGUUAUCGGUGCGCAGUUUCCUCUGCGCCUGCGUGUUGGUGGGCCGGUGGGUAUUUCGGAUGGUGAGUUGGGCAGUUGGUGCUAACUUGUCGUCCGGUCUGCUUGCUAGAUCGCUCAUUCACUUGCAGCGACGUUUGGAGGCUCUGUGUGGUCGUGGCCAUGAGCAAGCACUUCUGCCUGCUAAUUAGUACGUUCGUCCACUGCACCUGCAUGGGUGACGUUGGAUGAUACCGCCUAUCACUUCUUCCUGAGAGUGAGGGUGCAAGAUGACGCUCGUGGUUGGUUAGUCUGGCGUUGGCCUGCGGAUGCGGCGCAAAUGCUUACUUCUUAGAGAGACAG